UCGGGGGUCGUCUAGCGGUAGGACAGUGGAUUCUGGCUCCACUAACUGAGGUUCAAAUCCUUGCCCCCGAG
rnacentral:tRNA from 1 species